rnacentral:sRNA from 1 species
UCAGUUGUGUGGUCUGUUGAAAGUGCCUU